AGGACUGUAGCUCAGUUGGUUAGAGCGCGCCCCUGAUAAGGGUGAGGUCGGUAGUUCAAAUCUACUCAGUCCUACCA
rnacentral:tRNA from 8 species